UACGUAGGGAGCAAGCGUUGUCCGGAAUCACUGGGCGUAAAGCGCACGUAGGCGGCUUCUCAAGUCAGGGGUGAAAUCCUGGAGCUCAACUCCAGAACUGCCUUUGAUACUGAGGGGCUCGAGUCCGGGAGAGGUGAGUGGAACUGCGAGUGUAGAGGUGAAAUUCGUAGAUAUUCGCAAGAACACCAGUGGCGAAGGCGGCUCACUGGCCCGGUACUGACGCUGAGGUGCGAAAGCGUGGGGAGCAAACAGG
rnacentral:rRNA from 1 species